rnacentral:SRP_RNA from 1 species
AGGCUGUCUCCGAGUGCAAUGGGGACUUGUGAACCAGGUCAGGUCUUAACCGAAGCAGCCUUAAGCAACCGUCUCCCAUGUGCAUGAGGAGACAGCCUUUC